rnacentral:rRNA from 1 species
GUGCCAGCCGCCGCGGUAAUACGUAGGGUGCGAGCGUUGUCCGGAAUUACUGGGCGUAAAGAGCUCGUAGGUGGUUUGUCGCGUCGUCUGUGAAAUUCCGGGGCUUAACUUCGGGCGUGCAGGCGAUACGGGCAAUACUUGAGUGCUGUAGGGGAGACUGGAAUUCCUGGUGUAGCGGUGGAAUGCGCAGAUAUCAGGAGGAACACCGAUGGCGAAGGCAGGUCUCUGGGCAGUAACUGACGCUGAGGAGCGAAAGCAUGGGUAGCAAACAGGAUUAGAUACCCGUGUAGUCC